UACGUAGGGGGCAAGCGUUGUCCGGAUUCAUUGGGCGUAAAGAGCGUGUAGGCGGCCAGGUAGGUCGGUUGUGAAAACUCGAGGCUUAACCUCGAGAUGUCGGCGGAAACCAUCUGGCUAGAGUCCGGAAGAGGAGAGUGGAAUUCCUGGUGUAGCGGUGAAAUGCGCAGAUAUCAGGAAGAACACCCGUGGCGAAGGCGGCUCUCUGGGACGGUACUGACGCUGAGGAGCGAAAGCGUGGGGAGCGAACAGG
rnacentral:rRNA from 1 species